rnacentral:lncRNA from 1 species
AUAUCAGGGUCCUUUCUGCAAAAUCUUGCUAGUGUAUGCAAUGGUAUCAGCGUUUGGAGGCUGAUUAUGAAAUGGAUCUCCGGACAUGGCAGUCUCUAGAUGGAAGGCCUGAAGAAGCUUGACCUACUUCUACAAAAUGAGGAAGAGAGAAAUAUUCUACACUAAGCACUUCCCUUCUCUGAUUCAAAAACUGGAAUGAUCUGGUUGAGGAAAGCUUCCGUUGAGUUUGAAACAGAGAAUUUUGAAAUGAGCAGGGUGGUUUACAGUCAGGUUGUUCCUGACAAUAUGGAAUAAAUGUAAAUUUAUUGAA